GAUGAACGCUGGCGGCGUGCCUAGUACAUGCAAGUCGAGCGAAUGGAUUAAGAGCUUGCUCUUAUGAAGUUAGCGGCGGACGGGUGAGUAACACGUGGGUAACCUGCCCAUAAGACUGGGAUAACUCCGGGAAACCGGGGCUAAUACCGGAUAACAUUUUGAACCGCAUGGUUCGAAAUUGAAAGGCGGCUUCGGCUGUCACUUAUGGAUGGACCCGCGUCGCAUUAGCUAGUUGGUGAGGUAACGGCUAACCAAGGCAACGAUGCGUAGCCGACCUGAGAGGGUGAUCGGCCACACUGGGACUGAGACACGGCCCAGACUCCUACGGGAGGCAGCAGUAGGGAAUCUUCCGCAAUGGACGAAAGUCUGACGGAGCAACGCCGCGUGAGUGAUGAAGGCUUUCGGGCCGUAAAACUCUGUUGUUAGGGAAGAACAAGUGCUAGUUGAAUAAGCUGGCACCUUGACGGUACCUAACCAGAAAGCCACGGCUAACUACGUGCCAGCAGCCGCCGUAA
rnacentral:rRNA from 1 species